GGGGAUUUAGCUUAGUGGCAUAAGUACCUGCCUUGCAAGCAGGCAGUUGUGUGAGUUCGAUCUCCG
rnacentral:tRNA from 1 species